UACGUAGGGGGCAAGCGUUGUCCGGAAUCAUUGGGCGUAAAGAGCGUGUAGGCGGCUCGGUAAGUCCGCUGUGAAAGUCCAGGGCUCAACCCUGGAAUGCCGGUGGAAACUGUCGAGCUCGAGUCCGGAAGAGGCGAGUGGAAUUCCUGGUGUAGCGGUGAAAUGCGCAGAUAUCAGGAGGAACACCAAUGGCGAAGGCAGCUCGCUGGGACGGUACUGACGCUGAGACGCGGAAGCGUGGGGAGCAAACAGG
rnacentral:rRNA from 1 species